AUGGCCGCCGCCUCCCUCCUCGAGCCCGCCCGCUUCCUCUCCCCGCACCACCCGCGCUCGCUCCCGCCCCCGCCCCGCCGCGGCCCGCACCACCUCCGCCCCUCGCCCCUCCCCGCCCGCGCCCGCUUCCCGCGCCUCCGCGCCCACCAGGCAUCCCCCAUCCCCCCGUGCCCCGUCGCCGCCGAGCCGGCAGCAAGACCGCCACCCCACGCGCUUCUCGACGCGCUCAAGCGGUCCCUGCUCGACUCGCUGGCGGCGCUCAGGAAGCCCGCGCUGGCGCUCCUCCUGGCCGGCGCGCUGCUCGCGGCCGCGGCGCCCCACCACGCGGCGCUGGCGGCGUCCGGCGGCCGCGUCGGCGGGUCCGCCUUCUCCUCCCGCUCCUCGCGGUCCUCCCCGGCCCCGUCCUACGGGUACACCGCGCCGGCGCCCAGGAUGGGGGGCGGGUACUCCUCCGCGCCCUUCUACUCGCCCUCGCCCUUCGUGUCCGUCGGCCCCGCCUUCGGCAUCGGCUUCGGGGGCUCCGGCUUCCUCCUGACCCUCGUCGGCUUCGCCGCGUUCCUCUACCUCGGUGGCUUCCUCACCGACUCCUCCGGGGGCGGAAGCGUGCUCACCGACACGCAGAAGACCACCGUCCUCAAGCUGCAGGUUGGCUUACUAGGCAUGGCCCGAUCAUUUCAAAAGGAGCUUGAUCAAAUAGCCGAGAAAGCAGAUACGUCAACCCCAGCUGGGUUGAGCUUUGUACUAGCAGAGACAACAUUGGCAUUACUUCGGCAUCCAGAUUGCUGUAUCUCAGCUUAUUCAACAGUGGAUGUCAAACGAAGCAUGGAUGAUGGGGAGAAACGUUUCAAUCAACUGUCAAUUGAGGAACGAGGCAAGUUUGAUGAAGAGACACUCGUGAAUGUGAACAGUAUCAAGAGGCAAAAAGCAGGCACUCAAAGAUCAAGUGGUUUUAGCAACGAGUACAUUGUGAUUACCAUAUUGGUUGCUGCUGAGGGGGUGUACAAGCUACCUACUAUAAACAGCAGCAGUGACCUGAAGACAGCUCUACAAAUGCUUGGUGGCGUACCGUCAAGCAAAAUAAUGGCGGUCGAGGUCUUAUGGACACCACAGAAUGAGAACGACACAUUGUCGGAGCGGGAACUCCUGGAAGAUUACCCACUUUUGAGGCCCCUAUAG
rnacentral:rRNA from 1 species